rnacentral:misc_RNA from 1 species
AACGCACAUUGCGCCCUUUGGCAUUCCGAAGGGCAUGCCCGUUCGAGCGUCAUUACACCACUCAAGCCUGGCUUGGUAUUGGGCGGCGGGACACCCCCCGCGCCCCUAAUUCUCCGGCUGGACGGUUCGAAUCUCAGCGUUGUGGUUUCAUCAAAUCGCUGGCGAGGACGACCGGGCGCGCCGUUAAACCCACCAUCAAAGGUUGACCUCGGAUCGGGUAGGGAUACCCGCUGAACUUAA